ACAUAGGUGGUUUAGUGGCAAAAUUCUUGCCUUCUGUGCAGGAGACCCAGGUUUCAUUCCUGGCCGGUGCA
rnacentral:tRNA from 1 species